rnacentral:rRNA from 1 species
GUCGAGCGGGGAAAGGUAGCUUGCUACUUUACCUAGCGGCGGACGGGUGAGUAAUGCUUAGGAAUCUGCCUAUUAGUGGGGGACAACAUCUCGAAAGGGAUGCUAAUACCGCAUACGUCCUACGGGAGAAAGCAGGGGACCUUCGGGCCUUGCGCUAAUAGAUGAGCCUAAGUCGGAUUAGCUAGUUGGUGGGGUAAAGGCCUACCAAGGCGACGAUCUGUAGCGGGUCUGAGAGGAUGAUCCGCCACACUGGGACUGAGACACGGCCCAGACUCCUACGGGAGGCAGCAGUGGGGAAUAUUGGACAAUGGGGGGAACCCUGAUCCAGCCAUGCCGCGUGUGUGAAGAAGGCCUUUUGGUUGUAAAGCACUUUAAGCGAGGAGGAGGCUACCGAGAUUAAUACUCUUGGAUAGUGGACGUUACUCGCAGAAUAAGCACCGGCUAACUCUGUGCCAGCAGCCGCGGUAAUACAGAGGGUGCAAGCGUUAAUCGGAUUUACUGGGCGUAAAGCGCGCGUAGGUGGCCAAUUAAGUCAAAUGUGAAAUCCCCGAGCUUAACUUGGGAAUUGCAUUCGAUACUGGUUGGCUAGAGUAUGGGAGAGGAUGGUAGAAUUCCAGGUGUAGCGGUGAAAUGCGUAGAGAUCUGGAGGAAUACCGAUGGCGAAGGCAGCCAUCUGGCCUAAUACUGACACUGAGGUGCGAAAGCAUGGGGAGCAAACAGGAUUAGAUACCCUGGUAGUCCAUGCCGUA